rnacentral:rRNA from 1 species
AGAGUUUGAUCCUGGCUCAGAACGUACGCUGGCGGCACGCCUAACACAUGCAAGUCGAACGAAGUAGCAAUACUUAGUGGCAGACGGGUGAGUAACAUGUAGGUAUCUGCCCUUUGGCCUGGAAUAACACGAGGAAACUUGUGCUAAUACCGGAUAAGUCUUUACGGAGAAAGCUUUAUGCACCAUUGGAUGAGCCUGCACUUGAUUAGUUUGUUGGUGGGGUAAUGGCCUACCAAGACUGUGAUCAAUAGCUGAUUUGAGAGGAUGAUCAGCCACAUUGGGACUGAGACACGGCCCAAACUCCUACGGGAGGCAGCAGUGGGGAAUCUUGCACAAUGGAGGAAACUCUGAUGCAGCGAUGCCGCGUGAGUGAAGAAGGCCUUUGGGUUGUAAAGCUCUUUCGUCGGGGAAGAAAAUGACUGUACCCGAAUAAGAAGGUCCGGCUAACUUCGUGCCAGCAGCCGCGGUAAUACGAAGGGACCUAGCGUAGUUCGGAAUUACUGGGCUUAAAGAGUUCGUAGGUGGUUGAAAAAGUUAGUGGUGAAAUCCCAGAGCUUAACUCUGGAACUGCCAUUAAAACUUUUCAGCUAGAGUGUGAUAGAGGAAAGCAGAAUUUCUAGUGUAGAGGUGAAAUUCGUAGAUAUUAGAAAGAAUACCAAUUGCGAAGGCAGCUUUCUGGAUCAUUACUGACACUGAGGAACGAAAGCAUGGGUAGCGAAGAGGAUUAGAUACCCUCGUAGUCCAUGCCGUAAACGAUGUGUGUUAGACGUUGGAAAUUUAUUUUCAGUGUCGCAGGGAAACCGAUAAACACACCGCCUGGGGAGUACGACCGCAAGGUUAAAACUCAAAUGAAUUGACGGGGACCCGCACAAGUAGUGGAGCAUGUGGUUUAAUUCGAAGAUACGCGCAGAACCUUACCAACACUUGACAUGUUCGUCGCGACUCUAAGAGAUUAGAGUUUUCGGUUCGGCCGGACGAAACACAGGUGCUGCAUGGCUGUCGUCAGCUCGUGUCGUGAGAUGUUGGGUUAAGUCCCGCAACGAGCGCAACCCUCACUUUUAGUUGCCAUCAUUAAGUUGGGCACUCUGAAAGAACUGCCAGUGAUAAGCUGGAGGAAGGUGGGGAUGACGUCAAGUCCUCAUGGCCCUUACGUGUUGGGCUACACACGUGCUACAAUGGUAUCUACAACAGGAAGCAAGACUGCGAAGUUAAGCAAAUCCCUAAAAGAUACCUCAGUUCGGAUUGCACUCUGCAACUCGAGUGCAUGAAGCUGGAAUUACUAGUAAUCGUGGAUCAGCGUGCCACGGUGAAUGCGUUCCCGGGUCUUGUACACACCGCCCGUCACACCAUGGGAGUUGGUUCUACCUUAAGGCAAGGUUUCAAACCCUUGACCACGGUAUAGUCAGCGACUGGGGUGAAGUCGUAACAAGGUA